rnacentral:lncRNA from 1 species
UGUGGAAUAUCUUAAUCCUUGUUUUGAUGAUACCAAAAUUCAUAGGUCUUAAUUGUAAUAGACUAGAACAGUUUUGAACUCAAGUGUUAGAGUUCGUUUCUAGUUUAGUAUGCUGUUCUAAAGACUGAAGACUGAAGGACGAAUUGAAGGACUGAAGACUGAAGACUGAAGAUACCAACUGAAGUAUCAGUUUGGAACUGAUUACUUAAUGCGUGCCACAGACUGAUACUAAAGUCAAGUAUCAGUUAAUCAUUCUUCCUCGGACUGAUCUUCCAACGUUCAAAGGAAGUCACGUACUCACAAGAGUACAGCCGCAUUAAAUGCAGAGAUCUCAGGAUCUUAUCUCUGCAGAGGUCAUUCCUAUUUGAUGGUUACUUUAUCAGAGACGUCACAUCUCCUGUCCCU